rnacentral:rRNA from 1 species
GACGAACUGUCCUAACGUUGUUCGGAAUCACUGGGCUUAAAGGGCGCGUAGGCGGUCCAACAAGUCAGGGGUGAAAUCCUGCAGCUCAACUGCAGAAGUGCCUCUGAUACUGUCGGUCUUGAGGGAGAUAGGGGUGUGCGGAACUUCCAGUGGAGCGGUGAAAUGCGUUGAUAUUGGAAGGAACGCCGGUGGCGAAAGCGGCGCACUGGAUCUCUUCUGACGCUGAGGCGCGAAAGCUAGGGGAGCAAACGGG